rnacentral:rRNA from 1 species
CCUACGGGAGGCAGCAGUAGGGAAUCUUCCACAAUGGGCGCAAGCCUGAUGGAGCAACGCCGCGUGGGUGAAGAAGGUCUUCGGAUCGUAAAACCCUGUUGUUAGAGAAGAAAGUGCGUGAGAGUAACUGUUCACGGUUCGACAGUACCUAACCAGGAAGCCACGGCUAACUACGUGCCAGCAGCCGCGGUAAUACGUCGGUGGCAAGCGUUAUCCGGAUUUAUUGGGCGUAAAGGGAGCGCAGGCGGGCUUGUAAGUCUGAGGGGAAAGCUUACGGCUUAACCGGAGAAGUGCUUUGGAAACUGGGAGGCUAGAGUGCAGGAGAGGAGGGUGGAACUCCAGGUGUAGCGGUAAAAUGCGUAGAUAUAUGGAAGAACACCAGUGGCGAAAGCGGCUCUCUGGUCUGUAACUGACGCUGAGGCUCGAAAGCGUGGGUAGCAAACAGGAUUAGAUACCCGUGUAGUC